CAGUCGAGCGGUAGCACAGAGAGCUUGCUCUCGGGUGACGAGCGGCGGACGGGUGAGUAAUGUCUGGGAAACUGCCUGAUGGAGGGGGAUAACUACUGGAAACGGUAGCUAAUACCGCAUAACGUCGCAAGACCAAAGUGGGGGACCUUCGGGCCUCAUGCCAUCAGAUGUGCCCAGAUGGGAUUAGCUGGUAGGUGGGGUAACGGCUCACCUAGGCGACGAUCCCUAGCUGGUCUGAGAGGAUGACCAGCCACACUGGAACUGAGACACGGUCCAGACUCCUACGGGAGGCAGCAGUGGGGAAUAUUGCACAAUGGGCGCAAGCCUGAUGCAGCCAUGCCGCGUGUGUGAAGAAGGCCUUCGGGUUGUAAAGCACUUUCAGCGGGGAGGAAGGCGGUGAGGUUAAUAACCUCACCGAUUGACGUUACCCGCAGAAGAAGCACCGGCUAACUCCGUGCCAGCAGCCGCGGUAAUACGGAGGGUGCAAGCGUUAAUCGGAAUUACUGGGCGUAAAGCGCACGCAGGCGGUCUGUCAAGUCGGAUGUGAAAUCCCCGGGCUCAACCUGGGAACUGCAUUCGAAACUGGCAGGCUAGAGUCUUGUAGAGGGGGGUAGAAUUCCAGGUGUAGCGGUGAAAUGCGUAGAGAUCUGGAGGAAUACCGGUGGCGAAGGCGGCCCCCUGGACAAAGACUGACGCUCAGGUGCGAAAGCGUGGGGAGCAAACAGGAUUAGAUACCCUGGUAGUCCACGCUGUAAACGAUGUCGAUUUGGAGGUUGUGCCCUUGAGGCGUGGCUUCCGGAGCUAACGCGUUAAAUCGACCGCCUGGGGAGUACGGCCGCAAGGUUAAAACUCAAAUGAAUUGACGGGGGCCCGCACAAGCGGUGGAGCAUGUGGUUUAAUUCGAUGCAACGCGAAGAACCUUACCUGGUCUUGACAUCCACAGAACUUUCCAGAGAUGGAUUGGUGCCUUCGGGAACUGUGAGACAGGUGCUGCAUGGCUGUCGUCAGCUCGUGUUGUGAAAUGUUGGGUUAAGUCCCGCAACGAGCGCAACCCUUAUCCUUUGUUGCCAGCGGUUAGGCCGGGAACUCAAAGGAGACUGCCAGUGAUAAACUGGAGGAAGGUGGGGAUGACGUCAAGUCAUCAUGGCCCUUACGACCAGGGCUACACACGUGCUACAAUGGCAUAUACAAAGAGAAGCGACCUCGCGAGAGCAAGCGGACCUCAUAAAGUAUGUCGUAGUCCGGAUUGGAGUCUGCAACUCGACUCCAUGAAGUCGGAAUCGCUAGUAAUCGUAGAUCAGAAUGCUACGGUGAAUACGUUCCCGGGCCUUGUACACACCGCCCGUCACACCAUGGGAGUGGGUUGCAAAAGAAGUAGGUAGCUUAACCUUCGGGAGGGCGCUUACCA
rnacentral:rRNA from 1 species